UACGGGGAGAGCAGCAGUGGGGAAUUUUGGACAAUGGAAACCCUGAUCCAUGCAUCCGCGUGUGCGAUGAAGGCCUUCGGGUUGUAGCACUUUUGGCAGGAAAGAAACAGCGCAGGAUGUCCACAUUGCAACUGACGGUACCUGCAGAAUAAGCACCGGCUAACUACGUGCCAGCAGCCGCGGUAAUACGUAGGGUGCAAGCGUUAAUCGGAAUUACUGGGCGUAAAGCGUGCGCGAGCGGUUCAGGAAAGAAAGAUGUAGAAAUCCCAAGGCUUAACUUUGGAACUGCAUUUUUAACUACCGAGCUAGAGUGUGUCAGAGGAGGUGGAAUUCGAUGUAGCAGUGAAAUGCGUAGUAUGCGGAGGAACACCGAUGGCGAAGGCGGCCUGGGAUAACACUGACGCUCAUGCGAAAGCGUGGGGAGCAAACAGAGUUAGAUACCCUUGUAGU
rnacentral:misc_RNA from 1 species